rnacentral:rRNA from 1 species
AGUGAACGCUGGCGGUAGGCCUAACACAUGCAAGUCGAACGGCAGCACAGUAAGAGCUUGCUCUUACGGGUGGCGAGUGGCGGACGGGUGAGGAAUACAUCGGAAUCUACUUUUUCGUGGGGGAUAACGUAGGGAAACUUACGCUAAUACCGCAUACGACCUACGGGCGAAAGCAGGGGAUCUUCGGACCUUGCGCGAUUGAAUGAGCCGAUGUCGGAUUAGCUAGUUGGCGGGGUAAAGGCCCACCAAGGCGACGAUCCGUAGCUGGUCUGAGAGGAUGAUCAGCCACACUGGAACUGAGACACGGUCCAGACUCCUACGGGAGGCAGCAGUGGGGAAUAUUGGACAAUGGGCGCAAGCCUGAUCCAGCCAUACCGCGUGGGUGAAGAAGGCCUUCGGGUUGUAAAGCCCUUUUGUUGGGAAAGAAAAGCAGCAGGUUAAUACCCCGCUGUUCUGACGGUACCCAAAGAAUAAGCACCGGCUAACUUCGU